UAUGAGCCUCCUCUCCCAAAAGCGUGUCGUAUAGUAUCCCGUGUGCUCUCUUGUACGAUAAUACAAAUAAUAUUAUAAUAUGGCAACUCGGUCGGUAUUAUUGUUACUGUACAGGUACGUAAAAUGCGAUUUCGGUAUCGACGACUCGAAAACACGAGUGUUGUGAAACGAAAUAAUAUAUAUAAUAUACAUAUUAUUAUUAUAAUAAUUUACAUAAUGUCAUACUGUAGUAUAAUACUUAAACACGUGGCGCACUCGAAAACAUAGCGUGU